rnacentral:rRNA from 1 species
CACUCCUACGGGAGGCAGCAGUGGGGAAUAUUGGACAAUGGGCGCAAGCCUGAUCCAGCCAUGCCGCGUGAGUGAUGAAGGCCCUAGGGUUGUAAAGCUCUUUCACCGGUGAAGAUAAUGACGGUAACCGGAGAAGAAGCCCCGGCUAACUUCGUGCCAGCAGCCGCGGUAAUACGAAGGGGGCUAGCGUUGUUCGGAUUUACUGGGCGUAAAGCGCACGUAGGCGGACUAUUAAGUCAGGGGUGAAAUCCCGGGGCUCAACCCCGGAACUGCCGUUGAUACUGGUAGUCUUGAGUUCGAGAGAGGUGAGUGGAAUUCCGAGUGUAGAGGUGAAAUUCGUAGAUAUUCGGAGGAACACCAGUGGCGAAGGCGGCUCAUUGGCUCGAUACUGACGCUGAGGUGCGAAAGCGUGGGGAGCAAACAGGAUUAGAUACCCCUGUAGUCCCAUG